rnacentral:lncRNA from 1 species
AGGUUUUGUGGACCAGCUUAAGAGAGGGGGCACAGAAUCAGAUAUACUUUACCUCGAUCGGAGAGCCGUGUGGAGGGUGUCUCUAGAGGUAAAGAUUUGAGUGCACUUCACGUGGACCACCGUGUGAGAAUGAGACUCAGCCAACGCCAAGGCAUGGCUAGAUUUUCAAAUGUAAAAAUAUGUUCAUGUGUGUACUACACUGAAUAGCCUUGGCGGUCUUGAUCAGAUGCCUAAGCCAAGGCAUCCUCAGGAAUGAUUUUGACAAGAGCCAAGUUUUGUGAAAUACAUAAGUCAAGUUGAUUAUUUGAGUAAAUUGAUUAUUGAUGUUAUGAAAAACAUACUGGAAUGAAAUAUCUUACUUGUCUCCAUUUACUAGACUUUAAAUGGUUUAGAUGGUAUCUGUUUACUCACUGAGAUUUUAUAAUCUCACCACCCUCAAUUUCCCACAUUUCAAGCUCGGGAUAGCCAAUAGAUAGCCGAUUGCAUCAAGGACUUCAGUUAGCCUUGCAUCGACAAAAUUGUAAGUUCACAGACUUGCACCUUAUUAGUUAGUUGGGGGCCCACGUGUCACUGUAAAGGAAAUUUUAUACUUCAGU